GGCAGGCUUAACACAUGCAAGUCGCGGGAGAAGCGGUCUUCGGAUCGCGGGCACCGGCGCACGGGUGAGUAACGCGUGGGAACGUACCCUUCGGCGGGGGACAACGGUUGGAAACGACCGCUAAUACCCCUUACGUCCUCAGGGAGAAAGGCCCCUUGAGCAAUCUUGGGGCCACCGAAGGAUCGGCCCGCGUUGGAUUAGUUUGUUGGUGAGGUAAUGGCUCACCA
rnacentral:rRNA from 1 species